CGACGUAGGUAACCUGCCUGGUAGCGGGGGAUAACUAUUGGAAACGAUAGCUAAUACCGCAUAAUAGCAGUUAUUGCAUGAUAACUGUUUGAAAGGUGCAAUUGCAUCACUACCAGAUGGACCUGCGUUGUAUUAGCUAGUUGGUGGGGUAACGGCUCACCAAGGCGACGAUACAUAGCCGACCUGAGAGGGUGAUCGGCCACACUGGGACUGAGACACGGCCCGG
rnacentral:rRNA from 1 species